rnacentral:rRNA from 1 species
AUUGAACGCUGGCGGCAGGCCUAACACAUGCAAGUCGAGCGGCAGCGGGAAAGUAGCUUGCUACUUUUGCCGGCGAGCGGCGGACGGGUGAGUAAUGCCUGGGAAAUUGCCCAGUCGAGGGGGAUAACAGUUGGAAACGACUGCUAAUACCGCAUGCGCCCUACGGGGGAAAGCAGGGGGACCUUCGGGCCUUGCGCGAUUGGAUAUGCCCAGGUGGGAUUAGCUAGUUGGUGAGGUAAUGGCUCACCAAGGCGACGAUCCCUAGCUGGUCUGAGAGGAUGAUCAGCCACACUGGAACUGAGACACGGUCCAGACUCCUACGGGAGGCAGCAGUGGGGAAUAUUGCACAAUGGGGGAAACCCUGAUGCAGCCAUGCCGCGUGUGUGAAGAAGGCCUGGUGUAAGACACUUUCUAGCGAGGAGGAAAGGUACGAGUAGCUAAUAAUCUGCUGGCUGUGACGUUACUCGCAGAAGAAG